ensembl:lncRNA
CAGCAAUGGCAAUGACUUCAUAACAAACCCUGCUAAUGAAUAAAUCAUCCUAAUUUCAAGGCAAAGUUAGCACAGCCAUCCACUGUGUCAUUUCCAUGAAUCACAGCGAUAAAGGGCCAUGCUUGUUGAGACAUUGCUUAUGCAAAUGCAGUGCAGCACUAAUGAAUGUAAGCAAAGUUCUGCAGUGCCAGGACAAGGCAAGCUUGUGCCAAAGCUCCCAGGAAGCGGCUGCUGCUUUGUCCGGAGGAAUAAGUGAUGGGCUGAGGAGAGGCUGCAGGAGUUUGCCUCUGUCCUGUGCUGAUACUGCUGAUCCCAGGCGAGAAGCCCAGCUCCCUCAGCCUGUCUUCACAGCAGAGGUGCUGCAGCCCUCUGAGCAUCCUCGUGCCCUCCUCUGGACCCGCUCCAGCAGCUCCGCAUCCCUCCUGUCCUGGGGGCCCCAGGCCUGGGCACAGCACUGCAGGUGGGGCCUUCCAGGGGCAGAGCAGAGGGGCACAACCCCCUCCCUCUCCUCUCCCUGCUGCCACCCCUCUGUUGCUGCAGCCCAAGAUACCAAUCUGG